UACGUAGGCGGAAAAUUAAGUCAGUAGUGAAAUCCUGCAGCUUAACUGUAGAACUGUUAUUGAUACUGGUUUUCUUGAAUAUAGUUGUGGUAGGCGGAAUGUGUAAUGUAGCGGUGAAAUGCUUAGAUAUUACACAGAACACCGAUUGCGAAGGCAGCUUACUAAGCUAUGAUUGACGCUGAGGUACGAAAGCGUGGGGAGCGAACAGGAUUAGAUACCCUGGUAGUCC
rnacentral:rRNA from 1 species